GGCGGCGUGACCGAGUGGUCAGGUACCGGGCCUUGCAAUCCUGGGUAUGUCGGUUCGAGUCCGACCGCCGCCU
rnacentral:tRNA from 2 species